UACUUUACCUUGAGCAAAUGAGAGUGUUCCAGGCAGGCUUGGGCCUGAAUCGUCCAGCAUGGAAUAAUAGAAGAGGACUGGGCUCCAUUUAUUGGUGUUAUGGCGCUUAGUAAUGAUUAAUAGGGAUAGUUGGGGGCAUUUGUAUUUAAUUGUCAGAGGUGAAAUUCUAUGAUUUAUUAAAGACAAACUUAUGCGAAAGCAUUUGCCAAGGAUGUUUUCAUUAAUCAAGAACGAAAGUUAAGGGAUCAAAGACGAUCAGAUACCGUCGUAGUCUUAACCAUAAACUAUGCCGACUAGAGAUUGGAGGUG
rnacentral:rRNA from 1 species